UAUAGUUUCAAAUUAAUUUUCUCAUUAGACCUCAAAAAUCUUAUAGAUAUAAAAAAAAACUCAAUAGAAAUCAGAAAACAUAGUACUUAACAUAAGCAAUUAUUCAGUUAUAGUUAAAAGGCCACAUAGUGAGAAAAAGUACUUGUCAAACUUACAGUGUCUAUUGUAAGUAUUCAUGAUGUUAUCUAAAAGUCGUUUGAUAUCUUUUUGAAGGAGAUGGAUAAUAUUUUAUGAGAUCCGAAACAUAAUUCCAAAAAGUACCAUACAGUAAUAUCUUGUACCAGCGUAGAUUAAAAUAGCUCUGAUAUCCAUACCAUCAAUCCCUUUAAACUCUUUAAUACUUUGAGAUAUAAAACCUUUACAGUUUCUAAAAGGAGAAUUAAUGGUUUUUUUUCUUCUGAACGACUCUACUGGUGAGUAAGAAUACCAAACAGAAAAAGAGUCAUUGCAAAAUUUGGUUGAUAAUAUAAAAUCCUAAACUACAUCAACGUAAUGCGGUCAAAAAAGGCGUGUAUAACAUUAUUAUAUAUAUUCGACCAUAGUCUUAGGACGGUAUUAAGAAUCUUUAUUAUGCCAGCAGAUAUCUGGAACUGGGAUGUAAACUCUAUCCCAUCAUAAAUACCCCUCCAACAAUUAUUUUAUCCAACGCAGGAGGAAGGUUCAAAGCAUUACUACAUGUCCUGGAGGUUUAUAUUGCAUCCAACGAUUCAGUAAUUACCUGUCAAUUUUUAGAAGCCAUGGCACCAGAGGAAGGUGUAAGUUCGACAAUCUACGCAAGGGGAGAUAAAUCCUCCAGUAUUGGAAACAGUUACUAUUAAGUGUUAGAAAGUUAUCCCGAAUAUCAAUAUUUUCCAACUCCACUGGAUCACCCAAAUUCCUAAAUAAAGUUUUCUUGUUAGAGUGUUGGCGAAUAAUGUCUACAGUACUAUUAGAGUCUAACAAAGGUAUUUUAGUCCAUCCUAUUCAUAAAAAGCUGCCCAUUCUUUAGAGAAAUUCAUAAUUACAUUAUUUUAUCAUUCUGAACCGAUUAAUAAAAAUUUAUAAACAGGACAUCCAGUAUUACAAUUUUUCUAAUCUAAAUAUGAUUCUGCCAUAAUAUUAAUAAAAAUAUUGAUGUACAUUUUUGAAAAAAAUUAGAUUAAAGAAGCAGUCCUCCUAAUUGCUUACAAUCAAAUGCUUAAUUAUCUAAUUGCUUACCAAUGAAUUGUUUAAUAAUCGAAUUACCCACAAUCAUUUAACCUCACAAUGUAAAUGAAGUUACAUACCCCGGGUAUUUUUCCAAAUGCUCGAUUUUCCACAUUAGCCUGUAACAGUUAUAUUCGUUACUUUUUCUUUAGAUUAUACUUCCCUUCCAAAAAAAAGAAAGACGUUGAAGAGGUAUAUAGUGCCUAGUUACUUAAAUGCUGCAUGAUGUAUCUGAUGCAGACCCAUUACAUAACUACUAAUAAUAUUAAUAUUAUAAAAGAUCUAAGCCUUCAAUGAAUUCAUUCAAAGGAAUUAAAUGCGUAAAUAUUCGCCUGUUAUAAAUACAAAUACAAAGAAAAAGGUACAUUGGUGCAAAGAAUGAGAAUAUCUGUAAAAAAAUUAAUAUUUAUCCCAUGGAUUCAUGAAUAAUUCAUAAGGGAAUAAAAUUUAACAGAUUUGGAAUUUUGUAGCUUCAACAAAUACUAUUUUACAACUUAUAGUUAAUACUCUUGAACGUUUCUAAGCCUUUGCCCUCCAUUCUGGAUGCUGACCACCUUUAAAAAACAAAGUAUGAAGUCGAAUGAAUCAUUUAAGUAAAAAUUUUAGUUAUACUCUAGAGAUCAAAUAAAAAAGAACAGUUAAUUAACAUUGGGUUAUGAGCACACUACGUGCCCCACUGGUAUAUUGCACAACCACUGGGAAGAGAAAGUAAAUAGAGUCUCCUUUGCCAAUAACAAUGAUUUGUCGGUGGGUUAUGAACCUACUCCGGGCUACUCAGAAAUUUAAUUAUUAAUUCAAUUUUAAACGCUUUAAAGAAAGUUUUUUGUUAUGAGUUUGUUGUAAGACCAUAGGGGCAUGUUGUACGAACUAUUAGUUAUAGUGUUAAUUUUGUUGUGUUUGUAAUCAUAAGUAAAAGUUUUUGUAAGAGUUUUGUCAGGGUCAUAAUAUUAUCUUCGUCAAAUAUGGUCAUUGUUUCGUACUAGUUGUCUUUUAUUUCAUUUUAUCUUCGUCGGAGAUUCGUUUUCAUAAGCCUCUGUCAGAAUUUCGUCUCGACUACGUCAUAAUUUUUGCCAGAUUUUUGUCUUCGUUAUCAAAAAAAGUUUCAUUGACGAGUUUAAUACUUAUAUACAGAUUCAGUUAAGGCCAGUUACACGUGGUGAAGUGUCUUACGAUUGAAAUGUUAGUUAAGGAGUGGAGAUGAUCAUUGUCAACUAUAUUCUGGGAAGGUACCAUGUUAUUGUGGACUUGGGAAGGGUAGUGUUCGGAGCGAGCACGUCAGUGCACUCACACAAUCAAAGAAAUUGUCACGAGAGACUCCAUUCUAUUUGGCAAAAUACACCUCGGCCAUCAGGUUGUGCAAGUGGACAGCUGGUACCCAAGGAGGAUCAAAGCCAAUUGCCACCGCUAUCCUGCUUAUUAAAGACCCCUUCUAAUAUAUAGUAUAACACCUCAGCCCACGGAUUAUGCAAGUGAACUGGUAGUCGAAAAGGUGGGUCAUUAGUCACCGCUACUGCUUCAUUGAAAAUCAAGAACCUUCAUUAUCCACACAACUCAAGGGAUGAUACUUUGUUUGUUAUUAUACUUAGUGGGCUCUGUAAAGGUAUGUCUAAGUUUGGUGGUGGUUUAUGACUGUCAUGUAGCUCCUCUGCAACCGUAGGGUUAAUGUAUUUUUAAUACUAAAAUGUAAGCCAAACAGGUGGCCAAUUUGAAUAAACGUUAUAAAAGGUGGGUAGAUCAGGAUGACUACAGUAACAAUUACUAAGUAUUCUUUUUGCUUCACUAGCAGCUUUAAAUUUGUCUGUGUGGUCUUGCCAAGUGAUGUCCCUAAUAGUCGAUGUGGCCACUUUGAAGGGGUCCUCAUCUUUUUUCCUUUUUGGAUUGAAUGAGUAUUGCUGGAGUUGAUUCUUCAGCAUCACCAAUAGAGGAUGAACCCCUCUUGCAUUUCAUGCAUCUUCCUCUGUCACUAACCCAAAAUUAUUCUCUACUUUUUCAGGUAGAUAUAUUGUAAUUACCUCAUUUCUUUCGAUUGGGCCCCUAAGACUAUAGUUAGAAAGUAUGUUCUUCGUGAUUCAAGCAGAAACCUAUUCAUUUCUCUCAUCGGUGACAACUUUAAACGAUCUGGAUACUUUUUACCUUCAUCUUCUAGUAUGUCCCUCUUCCACGGGAACCUUGCAUGUGCGGCCCUCCUCCUCCAAGAUAAUAAAAGGACACUUUAAUUUUUAGUCAAGCAUUCCCAAGCCUCCAUUUUUUCUUGGGAGUGAACAAACGACUCGUCCCAAUUUUUUUUGGGAACCGAACAAAAUCAAUUCCUUUAUUCCUCCAAGUACGGCCAAUUGUGUCAUAAUAUGGUGUACAUCUUAUGAUGUGGGUUACUCUUGAAAUGACCACUUGAUUCCAACCUUUUAUUCUCUUUACAGGGGUGAGUCAAUGUUUUAAAAUUUCAUCAAUAGAUUUGCUAAUAAUGCUAUCUAUCUUCCUUACGUUCUUUACAUUAUCGUUUUUGAUUGAGAUAGUAUUUUGCAGGAUUUAUGCUUCUUCCACAACAUUGAAGUAAUAGAUUUUGAGGAAUCGUUGUCAUAUUCGUACUCAUCAGAGGUUUAGAUGUAUUCACUCUUACAGCAGAUCUUUCUCCGAAUAUUUCCAACACUUCUCCCACCCCCAACGCUUUGGAGUCCAUAUUGUAACCAAUAAGAAUGACAGUUCCAUCAUCUGCAUAAAACAGUAAAAGAGAAAGCAUCGGACUUAUAGGAUCCCUAUAUCUCACACCGUGCUGUAGCCUGACUGUCGGACACUUUUUAAUAUCAAUGAUUGAUUCUGAUUUAUUUCCCAAGUUUUUCAUAGCCGCACAAAACACGUGAGGGAAAUUCAUACCCGUUAACUCGUUAAUAAUGAAGGAAUGCUCAACUGUAUCGAACGCUUUUUCAAAGUCCAGAAGAUUCUAAGCAACAUCUUCUCCGUUUGCCACGGAUUAACCAACAAUGGCUUGAAUGACAUCGUUAUAUCUUUUUUCCUCAUUAUUUAUUAAUACUUCUUGUUCAACAUCUUCCUCUAAUGAAGACUAUUGUUUGCCAUUUACCUUAGUGCAAUAAUUAAGAUAUUUAAUUUUAUCAGUCAAUUACCUUUAAAAAACAACCCCUCUCCCUGGAUUGCAAUUAAUUGAAUCUUCAUCCAUCCAUUAUUCCUAGGAGUUCAUAUUUUCCAUAUGCUAGCCAAACGCCUUCUGAUCAUUUCUUUAAGUUCUGUUCAGGGGAUCUCGUCUCUGUGUACCUCACUCUGAAGAUAUAAUCUUCUUUAAUGAAAGGAUUGCUCAUUGUGCAGAUGCUCCUUCCUAUCAAGGUCUGUGAUAGUGACUUCUGACCUCGUGAAUCAUUGCCUCUAUGCUCAAAAAUACAUGAAUUCCUCCAAAUCUGCUAAAGUAAUCGUAUAUUGCUAUAAGAACUAAUGAGUUCCAUAAAAAGCAGAAUAAUCUACUGUAAGCCCAAGUGAGGAAUAGAAAGAUUUCUCAUCCUCUAUUCACUGAUACAAUUAUAGACUCCUUACGAUUAUGUGCCUCUCUUUUAUCGACAUUGCUUUUGGAAUCUGACUCAAUCGCAUAUCCGACAAUGCAAUCAAAUCUCAAAUUGCAUCAUACAAAUAGUUUUCCCUCCAAAAAAGAUAGAGGAUUUUUCUAUUAUGUUCUUCCGAAAAGUGGAAUGGGAUUGACUACAAUUUUCCCUCUACAAGUGGUACAGUAUUGUCUACAGAAAGAGGGAGGUUUUGUUCUUCGGUCUACCCAUCCUAAUGAGAGUGGUUUUUUGUUAUGAUUUAAAUAUCAACUAGUCAUUCAAAAUAAAAAUAUUUGUCGAUUAACACUACCUUUUCUUUAACCCGUAUUUAUUUAUUAGUAAGUUAUACAGUCCACAAUUACUGUAUUAUCCUAGAGUAUUGGGAGAGGCCUCAAUCCUUAUAUGGUUCAUUUUGGAACCACCGUAGUUCUUCUCAGGGUCCUCCGGAGAUUCUAUUAUGCUAAUAAGUAUAUUUAUUCAUGUAUACUAAUGAAUAAUGUUCACUAUUUCAAUGUAACGAUAAAGAUGUCAUACUUUGUAAUAAUUAAUAUUUCUAUAUAAUACCGUGCUUCGUAGAAAUUCAAAUAAAGUAAAUACAAAUUA
rnacentral:lncRNA from 1 species